AUUAGACAGCCUGUAGUUCUGAGAGACUGUCAAAAUUGUGUGCUCGUAGCCCUUAAACUAUUGAGAAUCUAGGACCCCACUACUACAUCUAAGAUGACAGUUAAUGUCUGUGGAAACCCUGGAUGUUUAGGAGCUGGUGAAGCUAGAAUUCUCUUACUCUUUAAGGGCACCACUUUCAGAUAAAAACAUAGACCUGAAUGGCAUCAUCCAGUAUCCAAGGAAACCAUAGCCAGUGGCCUCAGAAUUCUCAACACAGAGUUCUAAUGAACCGCUGUCAAUUGUUAAGAGAUAGUUUUGAUCAAACUUCUUUGUCACACUUGGACUACGACAAGAAAUCCAGAGUGAAAAGCCCACGCCCAAUGAAGUCAAUUUCUUGCAGUACUCUGGGACAUAAUUCACCAUGGCCAGAGUGGAUUUGCUGUACGCAGGAGUCAUCCUUCUAACCUGCCAUGUCCAUAGGUCUCUAAGUCCACUGAUGACAGGAAAAUCUUCAGUGGUUCCAGAGACAAGCUGCUGGAAAUCCUGCACAUUUAUCUUCCAGGAGGAAGUGAGCUGGUUAGGAUAGAGGUCCCUUCUGGAAGAACCUCCCCCAAAACUUUAAAGGACUCCAAAUUAAGCCAUGUCCAUUUCUGGGACCCUAAAGUGGCUCAUGAAAGUCAGGGGCCACUUGCUUAAUGUUAGGUGAUUUCAAAAGCCUUAAGAUUCUAAGGGGAGAGUAAAGAUGGGGAAGGUGAGGCUGAAUAAAUUGUGAGAAUCUAUCAAAUAACAGGGCAUCUCUUUAAUUCCAAGCAUCAUGUUCUAUCUCACUUUGUAUCUUUCAAUUAAAAAAAGGAAAACGUGUCUUCUUUAAAAACAUAUUUUUUCCUCUAUUAAUAUUCAGUACUUAAUAUAUGAAUACAGAUCCAUCAUUCUUUAGCUCUAGGUAGAUCACAACCUAAUUUACAAAUUCAAAAGCGUAAGUAAGAUCAACUCAAUUGCUCAAGGCCAUGUAUUUGCAAGCUAAAAGCAUGCAUUGAACAUUUCCUGUCCUUGGACUGGUGUACUGGGCAAUGCUGCUUUUCUCUAAGAAUUUGUUCAUCUAUUGGCUUUAACACAAUUUUGCUUAUCAGUUGAAAACGUUUCACCUAUACCCACUCAUGUAAUAUAAAGUAUAAAAUUAAAUCAAUGAUCUAGAAAAUUCAGGGCAAAGUAGUUUAAAUCAUUUUGAUCUUCCUAAAGAUUUUGAUUUCUUUUUCACCUGAAAAAAUAGGUGAUUACUCAAUAGCCUUAGCUCAAAAAUAUAUCUGACAGGUUAUUUUUAUUUGUUUGGUUUUCAGAAAUCAUAUUCAUGCUUUCUACCCUCUGUAGUUUUUAGCAAAAUGAAUCAAAGCCACUCUGUACCCAAAGAUAACACCACUGUUGUCUUUUUUUUUUUUUUUUUUUUUAACAUUGCAGGGCUUUACCUCGAGAGCUACGCAGUAAAUUUACAGGGAAAGAAAAAUUUUAUUAAAUUAUAACUGAGAGGAGCUGAUUUUUUUACAUAGCAAACA